GGGCUUAGCUUGCUAAGCCCGAUGGCGACCUGCGCACGGGUGAGUAACACGUAUCCAACCUUCCGGUAACUCCGGUAUAGCCUUUCGAAAGAAAGAUUAAUCCCGGAUAGUAUGGUGAUUCCGCAUGGUUUUUCCAUUAAAGGAUUCCGGUUACCGAUGGGGAUGCGUUCCAUUAGGCAGUUGGCGGGGUAACGGCCCACCAAACCUACGAUGGAUAGGGGUUCUGAGAGGAAGGUCCCCCACAUUGGAACUGAGACACGGUCCAAACUCCUACGGGAGGCAGCAGUGAGGAAUAUUGGUCAAUGGGCGGAAGCCUGAACCAGCCAAGUAGCGUGAAGGAUGACUGCCCUAUGGGUUGUAAACUUCUUUUAUAAGGGAAUAAUUGCGGGUACGCGUACCCGUUUGCAUGUACCUUAUGAAUAAGGAUCGGCUAACUCCGUGCCAGCAGCCGCGGUAAUACGGAGGAUCCGAGCGUUAUCCGGAUUUAUUGGGUUUAAAGGGAGCGUAGGCGGGCGCUUAAGUCAGCUGUGAAAGUUUGGGGCUCAACCUUAAAAAUUGCAGUUGAUACUGGGUGCCUUGAGUGCAGUAUAGGCAGGCGGAAUUCGUGGUGUAGCGGUGAAAUGCUUAGAUACCACAAAGAACUCCUAUUGCG
rnacentral:rRNA from 1 species